rnacentral:rRNA from 1 species
CCUACGGGAGGCAGCAGUGGGGAAUAUUGGACAAUGGGGGCAACCCUGAUCCAGCAAUGCCGCGUGUGUGAAGAAGGCCUGCGGGUUGUAAAGCACUUUCAGUAGAGAAGAAAAGCUAUCGGUUAAUACCCGACAGUCUUGACGUAACCUACAGAAGAAGCACCGGCUAACUCCGUGCCAGCAGCCGCGGUAAUACGGAGGGUGCGAGCGUUAAUCGGAAUUACUGGGCGUAAAGCGCGCGUAGGCGGCCAGGUCAGUCGAAUGUGAAAGCCCCGGGCUUAACCUGGGAAUUGCACUCGAAACUGCCUGGCUAGAGUAUGGGAGAGGGAAGUGGAAUUUCCGGUGUAGCGGUGAAAUGCGUAGAUAUCGGAAGGAACACCAGUGGCGAAGGCGACUUCCUGGCCCAAUACUGACGCUGAGGUGCGAAAGCGUGGGUAGCGAACAGGAUUAGAUACCCUGGUAGUCCACGCCGUAAACGAUGAGAACUAGAUGUCGGGAGGAUUUACCUCUCGGUGUCGCAGCUAACGCGUUAAGUUCUCCGCCUGGGGAGUACGCCGGCAACGGUAAAACUCAAAUGAAUUGACGG